UACGGAGGGUGCAAGCGUUAUCCGGAUUUACUGGGUUUAAAGGGUGCGUAGGUGGGCUAGUAAGUCCGUGGUGAAAUCUCUGGGCUCAACCCAGAACGGUCAAGUGAUACUGUCGUGCUAGAGUGCGGAAGGGGCAACUGGAAUUCUUGGUGUAGCGGUGAAAUGCGUAGAUAUCAAGAGGAACACCUGCGGCGAAGGCGGGUUGCUGGGCCGACACUGACGCUGAGGCGCGAAAGCUAGGGGAGCGAACGGG
rnacentral:rRNA from 1 species